AUCUUUAGAAAGGAAUAAAGAGAAUCAGAAAUGUGGCCCCUUCUGCCCCACCAAUGCUGAUUGAACCUAAUCAGAAGCAAGAUGGCAAAGAAGUCUGGAAGAGUAGUUUGCAGGGUCGAGCUCCAAUGUGAUACAGAGCAGCAAGGCCAGCUUCAUGGACAUUUGAUCUGUGAAACCACACAGGGUCCUGUUCUUAGAAGGGCCUGGUGCUGUCACGCUCUUGAAAUUCUCAAUACUUUUUGAACAAGGGGUUUUGCAUUUUUAUUUUGCAUAGGCCCUGAAAACUUUGUAGAUGGCCCUGCAGAGCAGAGCAUGGAACAGCAAAAAUGGAGCUGAGAGCAAAGAGGAAAAUGCCAGGAACUACCAUGUGUUGCUAAAUUGCUCUGCCCAAAGUUUAUGUCAAUUCGAGCUACUUAGUAAUGCAGGGAGUUGCCUGGGAAACCAUAAAUUAGCGUGGAGCUGAUAGGCAAGUUUCUAAAAUUUCCUCUCCUCUACGCAGUUUCUAACAGUUCCAAAUCCAAGAGCAGAGAGGUCUACGAACUGGUUCUCUGGCCUCCCAACUCAGAGAAUAAGAUUAGAAACCUUCCCUGAGCCUUCAUAUAAAUUCCCUACCUCACCCCUUCAAGGAGGAAACAGAUCUGACUGGGGAAUGUGUUGGUUGGUUGUCAUAAAAUUAAAGUAUAAUUUCUUUGUUUUUGUAUACCUGGUCUAUUAUUAAAACGAUCAUUUAUUGUU